CCGCCGUGGAAGGGCCCACACGGAGGGCUGAAGGGCAGGCGGACG
rnacentral:rRNA from 1 species